UAACAUCAUUUGUUGUAUUAAAUGACAGCCUGGACUUCUAAGUUAUCAUAUAUUUCUUUUCCUAUGUCGUAGUACAUGUAUGAAACCUGUUAACUUUGUGUUUUUAAAAAAAACUAAUAUCAUUUUUAUGAAGUAUUUCCUUUUUGUCAAAUUGCUUCUUCUUGGUAAUUGAAGGUAAAGGGCAUAAAAUUCAAAGAUGAGUUCCAAAGUAUGCAGACAAGAAUUCUUACCAGUUUGAUGUUCUCAUGGAGAAGUACUAGUAGUUGGAGCUAAUUUCUGAUGUAGCAGGUAGAUGAUUAGGUGCACCAAAACUAGAGGUCAAUGCUGUGUUGCAGUGAUGGGUAUAAUCAUGAAGAUUUAUUUUAUCCUGUUGGAGAAAGCAUGACUUUCAAUAAAGUUGAAGUCCUGACUUAGGAGUGAUUGAAGGGGAGAUGAAACUAAUAGUGGAAGGUUGUUUAGUUAAUGCCUUGUGAUGGAUGAGAAUAUUGGAGUAUUGCCAACAAAAGCAGCUAUUUUUUUGGAAGAAUGCCUACAGAAGUUUGAAAUAUGUAUAGAUGAAACAAUGGCAUGUUCAAUAAACUUGUGUGAGGUUUUUUCGUUUUUUUUCCCCCAAAAAAACAAAACAAUAGGGAUGGUGGUAACCUUGGAGUUGACCUCACUGGAUGUAACA
rnacentral:lncRNA from 1 species